rnacentral:rRNA from 1 species
CGUAGGGUCCGAGCGUUGUCCGGAAUUAUUGGGCGUAAAGGGCUCGUAGGCGGUUUGUCACGUCGGGCGUGAAAACUCAGGGCUCAACCCUGAGCGUGCGUCCGAUACGGGCAGACUAGAGGUACGCAGGGGAGAACGGAAUUCCUGGUGUAGCGGUGGAAUGCGCAGAUAUCAGGAGGAACACCGGUGGCGAAGGCGGUUCUCUGGGCAUUACCUGACGCUGAGGAGCGAAAGCAUGGGGAGCGAACAGGAUUAGAUACCCUGGUAGUCCAUGCCGUAAACGUUGGGCGCUAGGUGUGGGGACCUUCCACGGUCUCCGUGCCGCAGCUAACGCAUUAAGCGCCCCGCCUGGGGAGUACGGCCGCAAGGCUA